AGCCCCCAGAUGGACCCUGAGACAAGAGUCCAGGCCCUACGGGGCGCAGCAGGCGCGAAAACUCCGCAAUGGGCGAAAGCCCGACGGGGUUACCCCGAGUGCCACCCUCGUGGUGGCUUUUGCCCGCUCUAAAAAGGCGGGCGAAUAAGGGGAGGGCAAGUCGGGUGUCAGCCGCCGCGGUAAUACCCGCUCCCCGAGUGGUGGAGGCUAUUACUGGGCCUAAAGCGCCCGUAGCCGGCCCGGUGUGUCCCUCGUUAAAUCCACGGGCCUAACCCGUGGGCUGCGGGGGAUACUACCGGGCUUGGGGGUGGGAGAGGCGCCCGGUAUUCCCGGGGUAGGGGUAAAAUCCUCUGAUCCCGGGAGGACCAUCAGUGGCGAAGGCGGGGCGCCAGAACACGCCCGACGGUGAGGGGCGAAAGCUGGGGGAGCAAACGGGAUUAGAUACCCCGGUAGUCC
rnacentral:rRNA from 1 species